AUUGAACGCUGGCGGCAUGCCUUACACAUGCAAGUCGAACGGCAGCACGGGUGCUUGCACCUGGUGGCGAGUGGCGAACGGGUGAGUAAUACAUCGGAACGUACCUUAUCGUGGGGGAUAACGCAGUGAAAGUUGCGCUAAUACCGCAUACGCCCUCAGGGGGAAAGCGGGGGACCGCAAGGCUCCGCGCGAUUAGAGCGGCCGAUGUCUGAUUAGCUUGUUGGUGAGGUAAAAGCUCACCAAGGCGAUGAUCAGUAGCCGGUCUGAGAGGACGAUCAGCCACACUGGGACUGAGACACGGCCCAGACUCCUACGGGAGGCAGCAGUGGGGAAUUUUGGACAAUGGGGGCAACCCUGAUCCAGCAAUGCCGCGUGAGUGAGGAAGGCCUUCGGGUUGUAAAGCUCUUUUGUCAGGGAAGAAACAGCAGCUCUAACACAGUCUGCGAAUGACGGUACCUGAAGAAUAAGCACCGGCUAACUACGUGCCAGCCGCCGCCGUAA
rnacentral:rRNA from 1 species